rnacentral:rRNA from 1 species
UACGUAGGGUGCAAGCGUUGUCCGGAAUUAUUGGGCGUAAAGAGCUCGUAGGCGGUUUGUCACGUCUGCUGUGAAAACUCGGGGCUUAACUCCGGGCCUGCAGUGGGUACGGGCAGACUAGAGUGCGGUAGGGGAGACUGGAAUUCCUGGUGUAGCGGUGAAAUGCGCAGAUAUCAGGAGGAACACCUAUUGCGAAGGCAGCUCGCUGGGACGUAACUGACGCUGAGACGCGAAAGCGUGGGGAGCAAACAGG